rnacentral:rRNA from 1 species
AUGGAGAGAAUUUUAAUCGGUGAUAUGCGUGACGGUGCCGCCGAUCUAGUUCAGAGCUCGGUUCGUCUGUUGAACAACAUGAAGCAUUUCAGAACUACGCAAAACUCUCGUUGCAAGCCAUAUGAAGAAAGUGCAAAUGUUGUUAUCAAGCAGUUUGAGCAGGAUGAGGCUGCUGCCACCAACAGCAGGGCUGGUGAUGGUACUGAGGCUAAUGUUUCUAAUCAAAAAACGAAUGAUGUUGGCUUGGAGCAUCCUGAUGUUGAUAUUGAUCAGGAUGAGGCUGCUGGCACCGACAGCAGGGCUGAUGAUGGUACUGAGGCUAAUGUUUCUGAUCAGCAUACGAACGAUGUUAGCUUGCAGCACCCUGUUGUUGAUGAGACCAGUCAUAAUGUUGAGGCUGCCGUUGACCAUGGAGAUAAUGAUCCAUCCACUAAUAAGUGCAAGGGUCCUAUUGUUGGCGACGAGCCUUGUUUGCCCGUUGGUGAUGUUGCUUUGAAUGUUAGCAGCAGCAAGAUCAAUGAUGUUGCUGUGAAUGCUUCCAAGAUUACUGAUGUUGAUCGUGAGGUUGUCCUUAGUGGUGGAGAUGAUGCUCGUGGUGUUCCAUUGAGUAGUGGGCGCAAGGUUGGUAACAAAGUUGCUGAUGAGGAUGCUGGCGCUGCCAACAUACUUGAUGCCAAAUCGCAUGGUGUUGGUAUUGCUGGGAAUGAAAAUGUUCCUGAUUGUGAAGAUUUCCCGCCGAAGAAUUUCCCGCCUGGAGGUCUUGAUUAUGGUGAUGCAUUGCAAGAUGCUUCUAGCGUGGAGGAGGUGCCAUCCGAGGAUGAUGAUUUACUUCUCUCAAUUUCUUCUGACCCCUCGACACAGGAGGCGCUCUUGUCGUCCUAG